rnacentral:rRNA from 1 species
UCCUACGGGGGGCAGCAGUGGGGAAUUUUGCACAAUGGGCGCAAGCCUGAUGCAGCAACGCCGCGUGCGGGAUGAAGGCCCUCGGGUUGUAAACCGCUUUCAGCAGGGAUGAAAAUGACAGUACCUGCAGAAGAAGCCCCGGCUAACUACGUGCCAGCAGCCGCGGUAAUACGUAGGGGGCAAGCGUUAUCCGGAUUCAUUGGGCGUAAAGAGCGCGUAGGCGGUUUGUUAAGCGAGAUGUGAAAACCGGGGGCUCAACCCGCGGCCUGCAUCUCGAACUGGCAGACUUGAGUCUGGUAGAGGAAAGUGGAAUUCCAGGUGUAGCGGUGAAAUGCGCAGAUAUCUGGAGGAACACCAGUGGCGAAGGCGGCUUUCUGGGCCACGACUGACGCUGAGGCGCGAAAGCUAGGGGAGCGAACAGGAUUAGAUACCCUGGUAGC